rnacentral:rRNA from 1 species
UACGUAGGGGGCGAGCGUUGUCCGGAAUUAUUGGGCGUAAAGAGCUCGUAGGCGGUCUGUCGCGUCGGCUGUGAAAACCCGAGGCUCAACCUCGGGCCUGCAGUCGAUACGGGCAAACUAGAGUACUGCAGGGGAGACUGGAAUUCCUGGUGUAGCGGUGAAAUGCGCAGAUAUCAGGAGGAACACCGGUGGCGAAGGCGGGUCUCUGGGCAGUAACUGACGCUGAGGAGCGAAAGCGUGGGGAGCGAACAGG